CAUGUCUUUUUGAUUAUAAUUUAAAGUCUAAUCUGCACAAUGAUAAUUAAAUUGCCGCAGUAUUUUGACUGUGCAAAGGUAGCAUAAUAAUUAGUUUCUUAAUUAGGAACUGGAAUGAAUGAUUGGACGAGAAAAUUUCUGUCUCUUAUUAAAUGGUUUUUAAAUUUUAUUUUUAAGUAAAAAAGCUUAAAUAUUUAUAAAAGACGAGAAGACCCUAUAGAGUUUAAUAUUUUAUUUUUAAUUAGCUUUUAGGAAUAUUUUUUAAUUUGAAGUAUUUUGUUGGGGUGAUUCAGGGAUUUAUGAAAUUCUUUAAAAAUUUAAAUUGAUGAUUAUUAAAUUUUUUAUCUAAAUUUUUUAAAUUUAAAACUAAUUACCUUAGGGAUAACAGCGUAAUUUUUCUUAAAAGCUCAUAUUGAAAGAAAAUUUUGCGACCUCGAUGUUGGAUUAAAAUAAAUUUUUGGUGCAGUAACUUAAAAAUUAGGUCUGUUCGACCUUUAAUAUUUUACAUGAUCUGAGUUUAAACCGGUGUAAGCCAGGUUGGAUUCUAUCUUUAGUUUUAUCAUAUAUUUUAGUACGAAAGGACCAAAUAUAUAUUAUAUAUUAAUUG
rnacentral:rRNA from 1 species